GGUGAGGCGGCGAAAAGGAAGCUGUGGCGGCUUCGUAGAUGUGUGGGGCUUCUCGUGGCCUGUGGCCGGUGUAGGUGGGGACCUAUGACGUCCGAGUGGUUUGGAGGGCGACGCCCCUUGGAAUAUUGUUUUGAGAAGGGGGAGACGAGUCUGUUUCCCCGAACAGGACCUGGACAGCCUCUUCGGGUCUGCAGCCAGAGAUACCCUCUCCGAAAUUUCUCAGGAAAUUCUACCUUAGAAAGAUCUAGUUAACGCAGUCCAAGGGACUCUCAAGAGUCAUCUCUGGCACCACAGUUCGAAAGCACUGAUAAAGCAUCAGUUCUUCAGUGUUCAGACUUCUUUAUGGUCCAACUCUCACUUUGCUGCAGGAUGGAGAGCCUUCAGCAAUCCUUGGGAAACUUAGGACUUCAUUUAUAGGCAAGACUCCAGCCUCCAUGACCUUCCCUGAGUUCCAAAGAGUGGAUUUGAACAGUUGCUAAUCAAAGUGAGGAGCAGCCAAGAAGCCAGCUGAGGCAAGAUUAAAGGGACCAGAGAACUCAUCAAGGUCAGGAGACCCACUACCUGUGACCCUGCGCAUACCGCCCCCCCCCCCCCCCCCGAAGUGUUUUUAUAAAACUCAACAAAUCCUUCCGGGUUAUGACACAUAGUUUUUCAAGCCAGGGCCUUCUGUGCCCUCCUUUACCUGGCAGAGCAGUAAGACUCUCCUUUUCUAGUUCACCCAAACUCUCUUUGAGAUUUGAUUUGGCACAGGUGCAAAGAGGCAGAAUUUUUGGCAUUAUAAAGCAGGUGGCAUGCUUUCUGACACAAAGUGUGGGAAAUUCUGUAUUAAGUGACUUCUUGCUCUAUGUGAAAGUAUUUUGUAUGUAAGUUUGAUGCAUUUUAUAAGAUUAAAAGUAAGCUUGAUCUAUUUAAAAAAUUAUACAAAUUCAUCUUUUUAUGGUAACAGGAGUUGUAUCUUUCGGGGGAAUAGUUUUAUCGACUGUAAUUCAUAUGGCACACAAUUCACCAUUUUUGAGUACAGUCCAGUGGUUUCGGUGUGUUCAUGGGGUGGUGCAACCAUGUUCACACAAUCGAUUUUACUAUGUUCUUGUUACCCCGAGACACUGCGCAGGUCAUCAUCUCCAAAGACCUCUAUUCCCAUAGCCCUGGGAGACUAUUAAUCUCCUCUAAGGAUUUGCUUGUUCCAGACAUUGCACAUAAAUGGAAUCUUAAAUGUGCAGUCAUGUGACUGGCUUCUUUCACUUAGUAUAAUGUUUCAAGUUUGAUCCAUGUUGCAACCAGUACUUAUUUCCUUUUUAUGGCAGAGUAAUAUUUCAUUGCAGGGAUAGUCUACAUUUACUUGAUUCGUUAUCUAAUGGACAUUUAGAUUAUUUUUGGUUACAGCCUUGUGGUUAAUAUACAUGGCUUGAGAAAGAAUGACUAGAAGACUGUCUAACAGUGUAGGGAUG